rnacentral:rRNA from 1 species
UUCGAAGGGGGCUAGCGUUGCUCGGAAUGACUGGGCGUAAAGGGCGCGUAGGCGGAUGGCUUUGUCGGGCGUGAAAUUCCAGGGCUUAACCUUGGGGCUGCGUUCGAGACGGGUUGUCUUGAGUGGGGAAGAGGGUCGUGGAAUUCCCAGUGUAGAGGUGAAAUUCGUAGAUAUUGGGAAGAACACCAGUGGCGAAGGCGGCUCACUGGUCCAUUACUGACGCUGAGGUGCGAAAGCGUGGGGAGCAAACAGG